GCGGGCGUAGCUCAAUGGUAGAGUUCUGGCCUUCCAAGCCAGCUGUGAGGGUUCGAUCCCCUUCACCCGCUCCA
rnacentral:tRNA from 1 species